ACCUCACUGAAAUGCUCCUUGAAAAACACACUGAUGAGAAAGUGGCCUUUCCAUCCUGCUUCGCCUCUGCUUAAAGAUCUGUUUCUGUUCACAGGAGGAAAAUGAACUCUCAUGCAAAUAAGGCAACAACGUUUUGAAGACCUGAAAUUUAGAAAUGUUACUUCAGACAAGCUUGAGGUUAGAAAUCAGGAAUGAAAGUGAGCCUUGCAACAUGUGGCAAGAAGAAAGAGGUGUCUCUGGAGCCAAGGAACUUACAGGUCAUGUAAACUGGGUCCUCCUUCAGCUUCACUCCAUGCUUGCUACUCAACCUUAGGCAAAACUAUGCUAUGGAGACCAAUACGUUAUAAACUGCAUCACCAGCUUUUGAAUGCUUGACUUUACAUUAAAAGAAUUUACACUAUA